AUUAUUUUUAAAGGGCCGCGGUAUACUGACCGUGCGAAGGUAGCAUAAUCAUUAGUCUUUUAAUUGAAGGCUUGUAUGAAUGGUUGGACAAAAAGUAAUCUGUCUCAGUUAUAAUAGUUGAACUUAACUUUUAAGUGAAAAGGCUUAAAUACUUUAAGGGGACGAUAAGACCCUAUAAAACUUAACAAUAAUUUGAUUAAAUUAUAAAUUGUUAGUAUAACUUGAUUUUAAUUAAUGUUUUUGCGUUGGGGCGCGGGAAUAUAAUUAGUAACUGUUCUUAAAUAUUUUAUUAACAAGUAUAAUUGAAGAAUAAUUGAUCCUUUAUUAAAGAUUAAAAGAUUAAGUUACUUUAGGGAUAACAGCGUAAUCUUCUUUGAGAGUCCUCAUCGACAAGAA
rnacentral:rRNA from 1 species